rnacentral:rRNA from 1 species
UACGGAGGGUGCAAGCGUUAUCCGGAUUUACUGGGUUUAAAGGGUGCGUAGGCGGGCCCUUAAGUCAGUGGUGAAAGCUCCGAGCUUAACUCGGAAACUGCCAUUGAUACUAUAGGUCUUGAAUUCGGUCGAGGUUGGCGGAAUGUGUCGUGUAGCGGUGAAAUGCUUAGGUAUGACACAGAACACCGAUUGCGAAGGCAGCUAGCUAGACCGAUAUUGACGCUGAGGCACGAAAGCGUGGGGAUCAAACAGG